AAAGUCGAAACAAUGGGUUGGCAUGGCGACCAGUUUGUUUCAUCUAAAGCACCAACUUGUGUCCUAUUUAAACCCGAUGAGAAGACGUUCUAAGCGUUUGGAUAUGACGCUGAAAACAGGUACAGCAGUCUGGUUGAAGAAGAGGAACAUAACAAAUGGUACUACUUCAGGAGGUUUAAGAUGAAACUUUACAAUCAGAUUUCUUAAAGAGGACCUUUUGAAAGUCAUUGAAGAGCGCAUCAAGGGAGAAAUCAAACCCGAGGAGAUUAAUUGGGUUUUGACAGUUCCCGCUAUUUGGGAUUAUGGUGCCAAA